rnacentral:rRNA from 1 species
AUUGGCCUACGGGGGGCAGCAGUGGGGAAUAUUGGACAAUGGGGGGAACCCUGAUCCAGCGACGCCGCGUGAGUGAAGAAGUAUUUCGGUAUGUAAAGCUCUAUCAGCAGGGAAGAAAGAAAUGACGGUACCUGACUAAGAAGCCCCGGCUAACUACGUGCCAGCAGCCGCGGUAAUACGUAGGGAGCAAGCGUUGUCCGGAAUUACUGGGCGUAAAGGGCGCGUAGGUGGGCGCUUAAGUCAGGUGUGAAAACUCCGGGCUCAACCUGGAGACUGCACUUGAAACUGGGUGUCUUGAGGGCAGG